GCAAACUUGGUCAUUUAGAGGAAGUAAAAGUCGUAACAAGGUUUCCGUAGGUGAACCUGCGGAAGGAUCAUUACUGAGUGAGGGCCCUCUGGGUCCAACCUCCCACCCGUGUUUAUUGUACCUUGUUGCUUCGGCGGGCCCGCCUUUACGGCCGCCGGGGGGCUCACGCCCCCGGGCCCGCGCCCGCCGAAGACACCCUCGAACUCUGUCUGAAGAUUGUAGUCUGAGUGGAAUUAUGAAUUAUUUAAAACUUUCAACAACGGAUCUCUUGGUUCCGGCAUCGAUGAAGAACGCAGC
rnacentral:misc_RNA from 1 species